UACGGAGGGGGCGAGCGUUAUUCGGAAUCAUUGGGCGUAAAGGGCGCGUAGGCGGCCCCGUAAGUCUUGGGUGAAAGCCCUCGGCUCAACCGAGGAAUUGCCUUGGAUACUGCGGGGCUCGAGGCUGGAAGAGGGUAGCGGAAUUCCCGGUGUAGCGGUGAAAUGCGUAGAUAUCAGGAAGAACACCCGUGGCGAAGGCGGCUCUCUGGGACGGUACUGACGCUGAGACGCGAAAGCGUGGGGAGCGAACAGG
rnacentral:rRNA from 1 species